rnacentral:rRNA from 1 species
GGGACGCAGUAGGAUAGGCGAAGCGUGCGAUUGGAUUGCACGUCUAAGCAGUAAGGCUGAGUAUUAGGCAAAUCCGGUACUCGUUAAGGCUGAGCUGUGAUGGGGAGAAGACAUUGUGUCUUCGAGUCGUUGAUUUCACACUGCCGAGAAAAGCCUCUAGAUAGAAAAUAGGUGCCCGUACCGCAAACCGACACAGGUAGUCAAGAUGAGAAUUCUAAGGUGAGCGAGCGAACUCUCGUUAAGGAACUCGGCAAAAUGACCCCGUAACUUCGGGAGAAGGGGUGCUCUUUAGGGUUAACGCCCAGAAGAGCCGCAGUGAAUAGGCCCAAGCGACUGUUUAUCAAAAACACAGGUCUCUGCUAAACCGUAAGGUGAUGUAUAGGGGCUGACGCCUGCCCGGUGCUGGAAGGUUAAGAGGAGUGGUUAGCUUCUGCGAAGCUACGAAUCGAAGCCCCAGUAAACGGCGGCCGUAACUAUAACGGUCCUAAGGUAGCGAAAUUCCUUGUCGGGUAAGUUCCGACCCGCACGAAAGGCGUAACGAUUUGGGCACUGUCUCAACGAGAGACUCGGUGAAAUCAUAGUACCUGUGAAGAUGCAGGUUACCCGCGACAGGACGGAAAGACCCCGUGGAGCUUUACUGUAGCCUGAUAUUGAAAUUCGGCACAGCUUGUACAGGAUAGGUAGGAGCCUUUGAAACGUGAGCGCUAGCUUACGUGGAGGCGCUGGUGGGAUACUACCCUAGCUGUGUUGGCUUUCUAACCCGCACCACUUAUCGUGGUGGGAGACAGUGUCAGGCGGGCAGUUUGACUGGGGCGGUCGCCUCCUAAAAGGUAACGGAGGCGCUCAAAGGUUCCCUCAGAAUGGUUGGAAAUCAUUCAUAGAGUGUAAAGGCAUAAGGGAGCUUGACUGCGAGACCUACAAGUCGAGCAGGGUCGAAAGACGGACUUAGUGAUCCGGUGGUUCCGCAUGGAAGGGCCAUCGCUCAACGGAUAAAAGCUACCCCGGGGAUAACAGGCUUAUCUCCCCCAAGAGUUCACAUCGACGGGGAGGUUUGGCACCUCGAUGUCGGCUCAUCGCAUCCUGGGGCUGUAGUCGGUCCCAAGGGUUGGGCUGUUCGCCCAUUAAAGCGGUACGCGAGCUGGGUUCAGAACGUCGUGAGACAGUUCGGUCCCUAUCCGUCGUGGGCGUAGGAAAUUUGAGAGGAGCUGUCCUUAGUACGAGAGGACCGGGAUGGACAUACCUCUGGUGUACCAGUUGUCGUGCCAACGGCAUAGCUGGGUAGCUAUGUGUGGACGGGAUAAGUGCUGAAAGCAUCUAAGCAUGAAGCCCCCCUCAAGAUGAGAUUUCCCAACUUCGGUUAUAAGAUCCCUCAAAGAUGAUGAGG